rnacentral:piRNA from 1 species
UGGAGGUGUCUAGAGGAGCCAUCAUGGGAA